CCGCAGCCCUAGUGGUGAUCGCUAUUAUUGAGCCUAAAGCGUCCGUAGCCGGCUUGAUAAAUCCUUGGGUAAAUCGGGCAGCUCAACUGUCCGAAGUCCGAGGUGGCUGUCAAGCUUGGAACCGGAAGAGGUCAGAGGUACUCCAGGGGUAGGGGUGAAAUCCUGUAAUCCUUGGGGGACCACCAGUGGCGAAGGCGUCUGACUAGAACGGAUUCGACGGUAAGGGACGAAGCCCUGGGGCGCAAACCGGAUUAGAUACCCGAGUAGUCC
rnacentral:rRNA from 1 species